rnacentral:lncRNA from 1 species
UAGGGGAAAACACUUGAAAAGUCAAGUGGAGCAUAGAUUCAGCAUAGAUCUAGGCAAACAAACAAAGAAAGAACCUCGAAUAGCUUAGGAUUCAUAGAAACCCUUGAAAUGAGAAAGUCUUGGAAGACAUCAGAUCCUGAGUCGAACAGGUCAAGAAUCAGGUCUUUAAUACUUGAAUAUGCCAGAGCGUGAUCGGAGAAACCAUAGAGUAUAGAUUUUAGACGGAUCUGAAACAGGACAUCGAGGUAUAGUCUCCAAACUUCAAGCAACUCAGGCUUAGUGGUGAGAGAGGGUGAGUAGAAGCCAUCCAUGGCCGGAGAUGCCAUGGAUUCAGUGGAAAGGAGGUUUAGAUAACGUGGGAAUCGAUUAGGAUUUCGAGGAGGCUAGAGAGCAUUUUGAGAGACGAGGGUUUCAAGGGAGG